CCUUUACUACGGAAUAACGCAGGGAAACUUGUGCUAAUACCGUAUGUGUCCUUCGGGAGAAAGAUUUAUCGGUAAAGGAUGAGCCCGCGUUGGAUUAGCUAGUUGGUGGGGUAAAGGCCUACCAAGGCGACGAUCCAUAGCUGGUCUGAGAGGAUGAUCAGCCACAUUGGGACUGAGACACGGCCCAAACUCCUACGGGAGGCAGCAGUGGGGAAUAUUGGACAAUGGGCGCAAGCCUGAUCCAGCCAUGCCGCGUGAGUGAUGAAGGCCCUAGGGUUGUAAAGCUCUUUCACCGGAGAAGAUAAUGACGGUAUCCGGAGAAGAAGCCCCGGCUAACUUCGUGCCAGCAGCCGCGGUAAUACGAAGGGGGCUAGCGUUGUUCGGAAUUACUGGGCGUAAAGCGCACGUAGGCGGAUCGAUCAGUCAGGGGUGAAAUCCCAGGGCUCAACCCUGGAACUGCCUUUGAUACUGUCGAUCUGGAGUAUGGAAGAGGUGAGUGGAAUUCCGAGUGUAGAGGUGAAAUUCGUAGAUAUUCGGAGGAACACCAGUGGCGAAGGCGGCUCACUGGUCCAUUACUGACGCUGAGGUGCGAAAGCGUGGGGAGCAAACAGGAUUA
rnacentral:rRNA from 1 species